AGUUCUGAAAAAAGACAUUGCAAUGGCGUAAAUGUACACCUUUACAUGUUUUUAAAAAUAAAUAUUCAACCUUUCAAAACUUAUUUCUCAAUGUAUGAACACCUGUUUGCAGAAUCCCAUUUACAAGGUUUCAAAACCGGGAAACAAUGAAAUACACUGUUAGAACAGUGCCAGAUUUGAAACUCUGCAAAUGCGCUGGUGAUAUUGUUUGAACUUUGAAAACAUGUUUGUGAAAAAAAGAAAAACUUUGAAAAUGUGUUGGUGAAAAUGAUGAAGAAGAUAAAAUAGAACACAAAAUCAUGUUUACAGAUGUUUGAAUUUUAACUUACAAGCCUUUGAAACUUUUUUUUUCAGGUUGGAAUUAUGGCAGGAAACUGGCUCCAUAGCAUUGCGCUCUCGAAAUGCAUUUUGGGUCCGUCCGUUCAGACCUGUCCAUGGUUCAGAGUCGCACUCGCGACGCUCAUCCGUCGACGGACGCAUGGUGUGUGGAACAAGCGUACAUAGGCCUACCUGAUCGCGUUCAUUUGUUCGCCUCCCUCCACCUCCCUCUCUCUCCGGUGCAUAUUUAAGCCACUUCUUCAGUGUCCCCGAAAAAACAAUAUGGGUGGUCUCUGGCAGCUGUUUUUGGAGUGCAGCUGAAAGAAAGAAAGAAACAAACCCGGUCAAGAAUUACCAACAUGGCGACGAUAAUUCCUACAAAUACUGAGUGAUGUAGUGGAUGGCUGGAAAGAAGAGGGGGUUUCUCUCAUAACAGCCUCUGCUAAUUGAAACUCCUCCAUUGUCCUCAGAGGCAGCUUGAUGGACGAAGCGGCAGCUUCUGGUGCUACCGGCCUCACCAUCUCUCUCCUAAGCGCCCUCACUUCACUCCCCAGAUUGUCGUGCUGUUUUCCUUAGGGGGGGUGGUGCCUCGUCAUCAGUGUCCACACCUUGAAGCAUAGUAAGUGCCAGUUUAAUUUCAGACUAAAUGGGCAGUCAAACAGCCGUUUCUGAAAUAUUUAUAUUUUAAUUUCUAAAAUGUUUCAUUGCUGUUCAGUUUAACUCUAAAGGUCUGCACCUUCAAAAAAGUGUUGCGGCGGGCCCCUAGUGGGCUGGACUCUUCCAGCUGGCUCCUGCAGGUAGCGUGAGUUUGGCCUUUGGAACAAAGCAAGGACAGUCA